rnacentral:miRNA from 1 species
CAGCAUGGCCAUAGCCCAGAUG